AGAGGAUGGAAUGCUUCACCAGGAGACACAAGAAUAAUUUCCUUGACCUGGGAGUUAAGACUGCCACCCAGCCACCUUGUGCUCUCCAUGCUGCUGAUUCAACAGGCAAAUAAGGAAGUUAUGGUGUGGGCUACAGUGAUUGAUCUGACUAACAAGAGGGAAAUUGCUCCACCAUGGGGGUGAGGGAGAGUACAUCUGGAAUACAGAAGUUCCCUUAGGACACCCUUAGUGUUCCCACACAUUGCGAUUAAGGCCAGUGGAAAACUACAAUAACUCAGUUCAGGCGGAACAACUCAUGGGGCAGAAUCUUCAAGGAAUGAAGAUUUGAGUCCUUCUACCAGGUUUUGCAGAGUGCCUCCAGAAAUAAAAGUGUUACAAAAGAAUCACUUCAGAAAACCUACACUUAGAGAGUCCAUUUGAAAAUUGCCCUAUUUGAAAUGAAGUGGAGAUCAGUAAUAACAAGGACUUCCCCAUAUAACCCAAGGUCCUACUGGGUUAGUGUGAUCUUCUGCGGAAGGCUGCAGCUGCUGUCAGGAGGCCCUCUGUCUACACUCCUCUCUGGAGAAGUGUAAGUGUUUUGUCAGGUAAAUACUUCGUCACUCUCCAGCGUAGCAGUGAGAAUCAUCCCUCCUAUCUCUAGCAUCAGAGUCCCUCCUAUUGUUUCUAACCACCCACCCCCCGUAUCCUUGUAAAUAAUCUCUUUAUUAAAUUGUCUGCAAAUUACUUCAUUUUAAUGUGCUGUCCAUUUCCUUUUGGGACCCUGGCUGAUAUUGAUACUGAUGUUGGGUAAUUACUGAUUAUUGAUACUGAUAGUUGACACUGAUACCGAUAAUAAUUAUUAUUAAUAGCUAAUAUCCAUAAUUUGAUACUGAUUAUCAGAAAAGGAUACUGACACUCUAGGAUAUUAGCAGGAUCAGUAAAUACUGACACUGAUACUGAUAUUAAUACUGGCUGCUACUGCUAGGUAAUUACUAGGUCUGUCUAUCAAUCUAUCCAUCUAUCUAGGAUGUUCUCACUCUUGUAAAUAUCUCUAUAAAGCCUUGUCAAACAGAAAAAGGAGACAAUGUGAAAGGGUCUUGUGUACAUUUAGUCUCUAUUCAUCUAUUACAAGUUUCCUUUCUAAACCAAAUAGUUCUAUAUUGUUUUGGAGACUAUCUAACCCUCAUUAAUUAGCUGUUUUAUUUCUAUUUCUUUAUUGCUCAUAUAUAACAAUAGGAAAACUUGGUUAGUCAGUUAAUUAACAAAUAUUUAGUAAUGUAUAUUAUUAUAUGACUUGAGACAUGAUAAACAUGUUCUAAAAGUGUGGAACACAACAUUUGAUAAGAAAGGCAGAAUCUCCAUCUUCAAAGAGAUUGCAUUAUAGUGGAAAGAGCCAGACAAUAUAUAAAUAUAUAAACCAAGAAAUAAGAUCAUUAAGGUACUGAUAAGUGUUAUGAAGAAGAUGAAACGGGGUGAUUUUGACAGACAUUGACUGUAACAGGACCAGUUGUUUUAGAGAGCAUCAGAGCAGCUCUUCAUGAGGAGGAGCAUCAGAGAAGCUCUUCAUGAGGAGGAGCCUCAUGAAGGUGAAACCUAAAUGAUGAGAAGCCAGCUAUGUAAGAGGAGCAUUUGACACAGAAGGAACCAUAAGUACAAAUGUAAUGAGAUGAGAAAUUUCUUUGGUAUGUUGAAGACAUCAGGACAGGUGAGUAGCAUGCACCUGUGUCCCAGCUACACCAGAGGCUGAGGCAGGAGGAUUGUGUGAGCCCAGGAGCUUGAGGAUGCAGUGAGUUAUGACCAUAGCACUGCACUCCAUCCUUUUGUGAUGUCUUUUUUUUUUUAAGAAACGUCACUGUGUUCCGGGUGACAGAGCAAGAUGACAUUUCUGAAAAAAAAAUGGGGGGACAUCACAAAAGACCAUGGAUAAAACUAAGUAAACCAGAGAAACAAGAAGGAAGAGAGAGAGAUGAAUUGGGUGCAUUGGCAAAGCCAGAUAAUGUUAGAAUGACCAGGCCAUGGGAAGAGUCAGGUUCAAAACAUACUUAGAAGCCACUGGAGACUUUUAAAUGGGCAUAGGAGGAUCUGAUUUGUAGUUUAGAAUGAUUUCUCUGGCUGCUGCGUGUAGAACAGAUCCUAUGUAAGGGAGCAAAUGUGGAGGCAGAAAAGCUACUGCAGAGGUGAUAACAUUAGCUAAAAGAUCACAGUAUCUGGGGAAAGGGUGGUUGCGGUAGAGAGAGUAAAAAGUAGUUGGUUUCAGAAUACAUUUUAAUGGAAAUGGAAUAGCAGACUGAUGAUUGGAUAAUGGGAAUUGAGGGAAAUCAAGGAAUCCAGAAUGACUUGUAAAUUUUUGUUCUAAGAAAUUGAGUGGAUAAUGAUGGCAUUUACUUAAAUAGCAAAUACUUGUGGAGGUAAAUUCUGGAUAUGUGGGGCAACCAAGGGUUUUGUUGAUGCCAUGUAAACUUUGGCAUGCCAAUUAGAUACGAAGAGAUACUGAGUGGAAAGCUGGAUACUCAGGGGACCACAGUCUUCUGUUUCCUGGAUUUCAGGUCCCUUUUAAACUGAAGCAUAGUGAGAACAAGUGUAAAGCACAACACAGACGGAAGAUUGCACCUUAGCUCACUGCCCCGUGCACCCCGGUUACACCGUCUAAGAAAACACUCUGGAUUCAAUCCUUGGAAAAGUAGUAUGUGCUGAGCUACCACUUCUGGAAGAGUCUUUCCUGGUUAAUUACUUGAAACCUGUUGCAUUGGGAAUUUCUCAGAAAGUCUGCCUUGAUGAGCUUUACUCAAGAGCCGCAACUUCACGGAUCGGACAACAGAAAAGACUUCGGCAGUUACCAAAUCUGAAGUACUCAUUGUGCAUGCUAGCAAUCUGGGACUAAUAAGGUUAAAUUGUCUGAGACCUCAAGGUGGAAGUGACAGUUUGUCUCCAUGAGGUCAUACAGCUGCUUGAGGUUGCUCGGAGAGUAAGAAGCAGAAUGAGAACUAGAACAGAAGCUCACUUUGGCCUGAAGGCUCAUGUGCUGAGCAUCUUCCCUUGUCUGUCUCCACCCCUAGCCUGGUGCCCAGCAUGUAGAAGACCUUCAUCCUAGAUGCAAUGGGAUUAAACUUGGAGAAAAUGGGAUUAAACUUGGACAAACACUACCUAUUUGGACUUGUGAUGAUGGCUUUCAAACUUCUUAAAGCAAUGAAGUAUUUUUUCCAGAAGAAACCUUACACAAGAAGCCCAGCACACUGAGUCAAGCAUAUGUAGGUGGAAGAUAUCUGGUUGAGACCAAGUAGAGAUAAACCUGUAGAUUCAACUGUGCCACCACAGUGAAUUCUAAGAAUCCACUGACUGUGAUCUGUAAGCUCCUACUCCACAGGAGGUCAGGGCACACAGCUUGAAACCGGAAGGCAGAAGAGUGACAGGGAAGGGUCAUGGACUCUGAAAUUAGAGCUAUCUGUGUUUUAAUACUAGUUCCAAUAGGCACAUGGUCUUGGAUAAAUGGUUUAAAUUAUCUGAGUCUCAAUUUCUUUCUCUGCAAAAAGGGAUGAUUAGUACAUAUGUAAUAGGGUUUUUAUAGAAAAUUGUAUAACUUGUUAAACACACAUGUACUAAGUGCUUGGUGCCCAGUAUGCACUGAAUAAAUGCUAGCUCCUUGCCUUUCAUCUCUAUGACCCUUCCCAAAUCUCUCAGCCCCAUAUUGCUUCAUGUAGUGUGUGUAUAUUUGGGAAAAUUUGUGUGCAUAUUUACAGAUGGGAUCCUACUCUUCUAUUGACAGACUGUCUUUUCAGAUGUGCCUUACUUUCAUUGCAUUGGUUUUUCAACUGAAAGUGAACAUAAAGGUUUUAAGCAUGCCUAGGUCUUAUCUUUUUGGUCAAAUAUCUAACACCCUCAAUAACAGUUGUAAAUCAUUCUUUUGUAAUUUGAUCAUUCAUUUUUAUAAAGUAAAACACAACUGCCCACUGUAAAAAUAGACUUCAUUUGCUCUUUUCUUCCAGUGCAGCAAAUGACAGACACUUUAAGAACACACAUUUAACUUCAGCAAACAAAUCAUGUAUAUUUUAGACAUAACUGUCAAGUAUAGAAAUGAUACCAUCCAACUUACCAAACUAUCACAUAAGAAUGCCCAAUAGCAGACAUUAGGAUGGGGCAAAACUGAAAGAAGGAUUGACUUCAUCAAACCCUUGAUGACAUACAAAAUGGAAACCAUUCAAGUUCAACUGAAGAAAACGAUAUCCCACAAGAUCUAGGGGUAAAAAGCAGACAAAGUUUAGGAAUGAAUUUAAACUACUGACUUACGUGUUGUCAGGAGUCUAUUUCUAUUCCUCAAUUUUACUCCUUUUUGUACAACUGUGUGCAUUCUCUCUCUGACUCUCUCUUCCUCCCUCCCAACACCCCCCACCCUCUUCUUGUUGCUGUUUCUCUCUAUUUCUUCAGAUCAAAGGGUUGAUCUCUUCCAAAUGUACAUAUUACAGAUCCACACUCUUAGAAAAACAACAGAAUCUCUCUAGUGCUUAAUUUAAUUUGUCCAUCUAAAAGAUAUUACUUGGCCCAAUUUGACCAAGCACCAUCUACUGGACCAAAUAAUGGUGGCCAGAGAAGCAUGGUCACAAUGGGGAAUGGGAAUAAGAUGGGGAUCAUAUGGGGACUAAGAAUGGGCAAGAACAUCUCCCAGAGUGGUAAGAGAAACAAUCUAAUGGGCAUAUAUUCCCAGUGUCCUCAAAUACUCCUCUACCCUAAAUUGCUUGCUCUGCUCUUGGGCCUUUGGAUGUGCUGACCUGAGUAGUGGUAACAAGUUCAGAAUUGUAGGGAAAGGGCUAUGAGUUUAUAUUUUAAGGGCAGAGAGUGGCAUUUAUGCAGUGGAAACACAUGGAAGAUGAGUAGGAUUGUGAAGGAUAAACUUGGGAAAAGAACAAUGACCUGAAGAGUACUAAUAAAUGCAGGGAUGGGUGACCAGAAAGAAAGGAUAGAUAGGAGGAAAAUCUUAGAGUAAAACUGGCAAAAGUUCACGGCCAGUUUAGUUAAUGGAAUCAAGGACAGUGAAAACGCAAUGAUAACUUCAGUGUUCUGGUUCUGAUGACCAAAGAAGGUCAUCAUUGUGAUGGAUAUUUUCUCUUAUUUCAUAACCUCUGCUCUAUGCUCUGUGUGAUUCCUCUCCUUCCAUUCAACUUGCCUUGCAUUUUCCGGAGUCUACUCCUUGGCUAAAUAGGGUCCUUCUUUCUCAGUAGCCCUUACUACCGAAUUAAAUCAUGGUGCCAGGGCUCAUUCUGCUUUGUUUCUGGAAACCUGCCAAGCAUGCUCCUGCCUUGGGGGCUUGCACUGAUUCGUUGCUCCAUAUUGAAAUGUUAUUUGCAUGGUCACCUGUGGCCCUGAUAUGGUUUGGCUGUGUCCCCA
rnacentral:lncRNA from 1 species